rnacentral:rRNA from 1 species
UGGGGAAUUUUGCACAAUGGGCGCAAGCCUGAUGCAGCCAUGCCGCGUGUAUGAAGAAGGCCUUCGGGUUGUAAAGUACUUUCAGCGGGGAGGAAGGGAGUAAAGUUAAUACCUUUGCUCAUUGACGUUACCCGCAGAAGAAGCACCGGCUAACUCCGUGCCAGCAGCCGCGGUAAUACGGAGGGUGCAAGCGUUAAUCGGAAUUACUGGGCGUAAAGCGCACGCAGGCGGUUUGUUAAGUCAGAUGUGAAAUCCCCGGGCUCAACCUGGGAACUGCAUCUGAUACUGGCAAGCUUGAGUCUCGUAGAGGGGGGUAGAAUUCCAGGUGUAGCGGUGAAAUGCGUAGAGAUCUGGAGGAAUACCGGUGGCGAAGGCGGCCCCCUGGACGAAGACUGACGCUCAGGUGCGAAAGCGUGGGGAGCAAACAGG